GCCACCAGCCUCUCUUUCUUUGUUCUCCUUUCAAUAUGACUCUGGCUGCGAUCUUCUAUUUAUAAAGUAGUUUAAUAAUUAGAGUAAAUCAAGAAAAGGGACAGGUAAGUAGGAAUAGGAGACCCUUGCUUCUCCGCUGAGCCAAGAUGGCUCAACUUCAGCUUCAGCUUAUCUAUCUUUUUCUUAGCUAGUCACUAUCUCUAUCCUACUAAAGAAAAGGCAAGUGUCCUUCUUGGGAAAGUCAAGGGAUGGAAAGGAUCUUCAGGGUGACCCCCUGAAGUUAAGGGAUCAACCCCUUUCAGCAGCUGUAGUUAUUUUGUUCUUCCUCUAAUGGGUGCUCUUUAACAUACAAGAACCUUCUUCUUCUUCUUCAGGGUAAGGGAAAUGAAGUGAUUCAGUCUCUAAGAAAAGCCAAAUAUACCCUAUGGACACUCACCACUGCCUACAACUCUGUCAGCCUGAACAAGAAUGACUGGGACAUCUGCUGUUUGCAGCAAGACUCCAGGGACGAUAGAGUGGGGGGAGUAGUAAGCAAAUUUAUUGUGUUCUAAUAUAAUUGCUCAAACAACCUGGAAAAGCAUUGAAAACUUGAAACCACCCAGAGCAUUUAGUUUCAAUCCCUGCUGAAGACCCAGUUUGAUGAAGUAAGAAUUAAAUCCACAAAUAUAAAACACUGCAAUAGGUAAUCAGAUUUCUUCCUGCUGCUAUGAAAAAUAAUGUUGUGAUAGGGAAUAUGAUUAACCCCCUCAAAAAUCUAAUUUAACUUUUUUUUAAAAUGGCUGAUUAACAGAUCUGCCGAAGGAAGCAGAAGUAGCAGCAGCUUUAGUUCUUGAAAAAUCGACUCCCUUAACACCAUAGGACUUUAUAGAUCAGGAAAGUCAGUAAAACUAGAGGCAUACUUGGGACAGUGUCCCUGUUUGAUAAAAAGUCCCUUGACUUAAAGUCAGAAGACAUGAGUUCAAGUUUUGAUUCUGAUAUCUAUCAGGUGUGAGGUUUUGGACAAAGAAUUUAAACGGUCCCUUGUUUCCUCAGUGG
rnacentral:lncRNA from 1 species